UUUCUGGUGGCUCUGUGGGGACCUUGCUUGUGAAUUCAGUACUUCACCAACCCCUACACUUUUACCUCUUCAGCACUCUGGCUUUGGCUUUUCUUCUCAUAAAUCUCAUUCUUAUUCAUUCUCUAAGGCCUCGGGAGCCUCACAGAAUAUUCACUUGUAUGAUAAAUGGCAUCUGAACAUCGCGUCUCUGGGCACUCAUGCAGCCCUAUCUAAACUGAAGAACUCUUUAGCUAGAAAGCUAUCAACAGAGUCUUGUCGGCCGCUCCCUGCCCUGGAAGCUAGCCGUGAUUGAUGCUCCAUCAGUGAUCCGGAAAAAUGGAGUUAGGAAGAAGAAAGGAUGGUUCAUGGAAUCCGGUGCUCACCUGAGCUACUAAGAACAAGUUCAAGGAGAAAUGGCAUCCUUUGUUCUACUCCCCAACCAGGGUAACCGGAUCCCCUACAGCCAUUGCCUCUAUGACCGCCAGCUUGGGUGAAUCUUAAGUGAAGCUUGCCUGUGUGUUUCACAGCAUCAGCCCUGCCUUAUGGCAAUGGUCCUCACUCUUCCUAAUGCUGUGACCCUUUAAUACAGUUCCUCAUGCUGUGGU